GACGUAGGGCGCGAGCGUUGUCCGGAUUUAUUGGGCGUAAAGAGCUCGUAGGCGGCUUGUCACGUCGGGUGUGAAAGCCCGGGGCUUAACCCCGGGUCUGCAUUCGAUACGGGCUAGCUAGAGUGUGGUAGGGGAGAUCGGAAUUCCUGGUGUAGCGGUGAAAUGCGCAGAUAUCAGGAAGAACACCAAUGGCGAAAGCAGCUCUCUGGGACGGUACUGACGCUGAGACGCGAAAGCGUGGGGAGCGAACAGG
rnacentral:rRNA from 1 species